ensembl:snRNA U6 U6 spliceosomal RNA
GUGCUCCCUUCAGGAGCACAUAUACUAAAAUUGGAGUGAUACAGAGAAGAUUAGCAUGGCCUCUGCUCAAGGAGAAAAAGGACAUGGUGAGUGAAAGAAUCAGUUAUU